UCGUCGUGGCUACCUCAGUCAAUGAAACACAUCGCCUUAGUCUGAAGUUGAAGCAUCACAUUCACUGCGUAUACGGAACUUUAAAGUUGUGAGCUAAGAACCUUAAUCGCUCCAGUCAAUGUUUUAUUUUUGUGAUCAGAACGCCUGCACCCACCGCUGGACUGCAACCUCCUCCAUCCUGAUUAUUUUCCUCACCCUAUAUAUAACGAGGGCGGGUCCCGGCGGGGGAGCGGCGGGGCCGCCGUGUCGCCGUCCAUCUCCAACCCCGCGUCCGCCGGCAACACCUUAACUGCCGGCGCCGGGCCGCCGCUGCUGCAGGUAGAGGAGGCGCUACAGGCGCAGUACGGUGACGUUA